GUCUCCGUAGCUCAGCCCGGUUAGAGUACCGCUUUCAUAAGGCGGCUGUCGGGUGUUCAAAUCACCCCGGAGACA
rnacentral:tRNA from 1 species